rnacentral:rRNA from 1 species
GCUCAGAGUGAACGCUGGCGGUAGGCCUAACACAUGCAAGUCGAACGGCAGCACAGAGGAGCUUGCUCCUUGGGUGGCGAGUGGCGGACGGGUGAGGAAUACAUCGGAAUCUACUCUGUCGUGGGGGAUAACGUAGGGAAACUUACGCUAAUACCGCAUACGACCUACGGGUGAAAGCAGGGGAUCUUCGGACCUUGCGCGAUUGAAUGAGCCGAUGUCGGAUUAGCUAGUUGGCGGGGUAAAGGCCCACCAAGGCGACGAUCCGUAGCUGGUCUGAGAGGAUGAUCAGCCACACUGGAACUGAGACACGGUCCAGACUCCUACGGGAGGCAGCAGUGGGGAAUAUUGGACAAUGGGCGCAAGCCUGAUCCAGCCAUACCGCGUGGGUGAAGAAGGCCUUCGGGUUGUAAAGCCCUUUUGUUGGGAAAGAAAUCCAGCUGGCUAAUACCCGGUUGGGAUGACGGUACCCAAAGAAUAAGCACCGGCUAACUUCGUGCCAGCAGCCGCGGUAAUACGAAGGGUGCAAGCGUUACUCGGAAUUACUGGGCGUAAAGCGUGCGUAGGUGGUCGUUUAAGUCCGUUGUGAAAGCCCUGGGCUCAACCUGGGAACUGCAGUGGAUACUGGGCGACUAGAGUGUGGUAGAGGGUAGCGGAAUUCCUGGUGUAGCAGUGAAAUGCGUAGAGAUCAGGAGGAACAUCCAUGGCGAAGGCAGCUACCNGGAC